rnacentral:rRNA from 1 species
AACACGUGAGGAAUCUGCCUUCCACUCUGGGAUAACUCCGGGAAACCGGGGCUAAUACCGGAUACUUUCAACUGGCGGCAUCGCCGGUUGAAGAAAGUUUUUCGGUGGAAGAUGACCUCGCGGCCUAUCAGCUUGUUGGUGAGGUAAUGGCUCACCAAGGCAGCGACGGGUAGCCGGCCUGAGAGGGCGACCGGCCACACUGGGACUGAGACACGGCCCAGACUCCUACGGGAGGCAGCAGUGGG